rnacentral:rRNA from 1 species
UACGGGGGGUGCGAGCGUUGUCCGGAAUCAUUGGGCGUAAAGAGCGUGUAGGCGGCCCGGUAAGUCCGCUGUGAAAGUCGGGGGCUCAACCCUCGAAUGCCGAUGGAUACUGCAGGGCUAGAGUCCGGAAGAGGCGAGUGGAAUUCCUGGUGUAGCGGUGGAAUGCGCAGAUAUCAGGAGGAACACCAAUAGCGAAGGCAGCUCGCUGGGACGGUACUGACGCUAAGGCGCGAAAGCGUGGGGAGCGAACAGG